UCCGAGUUGACCCCGGCAGUCUCUUAUGAGUCCCCGGCACCACCCGCUGGCAACAUAAGACAAGGGUUGCGCUCGUUGCGGGACUUAACCCAACAUCUCACGACACGAGCUGACGACAGCCAUGCACCACCUAUCGUGGGCCCCGAAGGACACCGUAUCUCUACGGCUUUUCCCACAUAGUUCAACCCAGGUAAGGUUCUUCGCGUUGCAUCGAAUUAAGCCACAUGCUCCGCCGCUUGUGCGGGCCCCCGUCAAUUUCUUUGAGUUUUAGCCUUGCGGCCGUACUCCCCAGGCGGGGUACUUAAUGCGUUAGCUACGGCACGGAUCCCAAGGAGGGAAACCCACACCUAGUACCCACCGUUUACGGCGUGGACUAC
rnacentral:misc_RNA from 1 species